rnacentral:rRNA from 1 species
GUAUAUUAAAGUUGUUGCAGUUAAAAAGCUCGUAGUUGAACUUCGGGAUUUGUCCAUUGGUCAGGCUUAUCAGUCUGCACUGGUGUGACGAAUUCCUACCUUCUGAGGAAUUUUCAUGCCAUUAAGUUGGUGUGGGGAGGAAUCAGGACUGUUACUUUGAAAAAAUUAGAGUGUUUAAAGCAGGCUAACGUCUGAAUACAUUAGCAUGGAAUAACAAUAUAGGACGGCUGGUCCUAUUUUGUUGGUUUCUAGGAUCACCGUAAUGAUUAAUAGGGAUAGUUGGGGGCAUUAGUAUUCAAUUGUCAGAGGUGAAAUUCUUGGAUUUAUUGAAGACUAACUACUGCGAAAGCAUUUGCCAAGGAUGUUUUCAUUAAUCAAGAACGAAAGUUAGGGGAUCGAAGACGAUCAGAUACCGUCGUAGUCUUAACCAUAAACUAUGCCGACUAGGGAUCGGACGAAGUUAAUUUUUAAA